GGGGAUGAUCGGUUUCGACAGCGGCUGUCGAAGCAGGGGAAGCGUGUCGAGGAAGCGGCCAUGAUCUCGUAAACCACAGGCCGAAAAAAUAACUGCCAAUACCAAGGCACAGCCCUCCCAGGCUGAGUACGCCCUCGCCGUCUGAUCAGAUAGCGAGCGCGAACUCUCCUACUUAAGGGAGUGUCAGCCCGGGGCUGUUCCCGACCCGGAUCCUGGCAUCAUUCAGGGAACUAAACCUCGAUCCCGGUCACGGGGUGAAGAGGGAAACAAACAGUGACUGAGCCCGUCGGAGACUUGUCCGCGUGAUCUCCGGGGCCGAGAAAAGCACAGCGGACUGCGCACGGAGAAGCCCUGGUUCCGCACCGUUGGACGCGGGUUCGAUUCCCGCCAUCUCCACUC
rnacentral:tmRNA from 1 species